UACGUAGGGUGCAAGCGUUGUCCGGAAUUAUUGGGCGUAAAGAGCUCGUAGGCGGUCUGUCGCGUCUGCUGUGAAAACUCAGGGCUUAACCCUGAGCUUGCAGUGGGUACGGGCAGACUAGAGUGCGGUAGGGGAGAGUGGAAUUCCUGGUGUAGCGGUGAAAUGCGCAGAUAUCAGGAGGAACACCGGUGGCGAAGGCGGGUCGCUGGGCCGUAACUGACGCUGAGGAGCGAAAGCAUGGGGAGCGAACAGG
rnacentral:rRNA from 1 species